rnacentral:rRNA from 1 species
UACGUAGGAUGCAAGCGUUGUCCGGAAUUAUUGGGCGUAAAGCGAACGUAGGCGGCUUCUUAAGUUUGGUCUUAAAGACCGGGGCUCAACCCCGGGAAUGGACUGAAUACUGGGAGGCUGGAGGAUGUCAGAGGAAAGUGGAAUUCCCAGUGUAGCGGUGAAAUGCGUAGAUAUUGGGAGGAAUACCAGUGGCGAAAGCGACUUUCUGGGGCAUUCCUGACGCUGAGGAGCGAAAGCGUGGGGAGCGAAUGGG